UACGUAGGGUGCAAGCGUUAAUCGGAAUUACUGGGCGUAAAGCGUGCGCAGGCGGUGAUGUAAGACAGGUGUGAAAUCCCCGGGCUUACCUGGGAACUGCAUUUGUGACUGCAUCGCUGAGUGCGGCAGAGGGGGAUGGAAUUCCGCGUGUAGCAGUGAAAUGCGUAGAGAUGUGGAGGAACACCGAUGGCGAAGGCAGCCCCCUGGGCUAACACUGACGCUCAUGCACGAAAGCGUGGGGAGCAACAGG
rnacentral:rRNA from 1 species